UACGUAGGGGGCAAGCGUUGUCCGGAUUUAUUGGGCGUAAAGAGCGUGUAGGCGGCCAAACAGGUCCGUUGUGAAAACUGGAGGCUCAACCUCCAGACGUCGACGGAAACCGUGUGGCUAGAGUCCGGAAGAGGAGAGUGGAAUUCCUGGUGUAGCGGUGAAAUGCGCAGAUAUCAGGAAGAACACCAAUGGCGAAGGCAGGUCUCUGGGCCAUUACUGACACUGAGAAGCGAAAGCAUGGGGAGCGAACAGG
rnacentral:rRNA from 1 species